rnacentral:rRNA from 1 species
AAAAACAUAACUAUAUGAAUUUUUAUAUAGCUAUUUCUGCUCAAUGUUCCCAUAAAUAGCCGCAGUACUGUGACUGUGCAAAGGUAGCAUAAUCAAUUGGCUUAUAAUUGGAGUCUGGAAUGAAAGAAUACUAUGGGGAAAUACUGUGUCGUUUCGGUAUGGGGAAAUUAUUUAUUAGGUGAAAAAACCUAUAAAUAAAAAAUAGACGAGAAGACCCUAGAAAUUUUAAUUAAAAGUUUUUGAUAUCUUUUUGUUGGGGCGACAAAGUAGCACAUAAAACCUACUUUAAAGCAUAUGUAUUAUGUAUAAAGAUUAAAUAAAUUACUCUAGGGAUAACAGCAUAAUAUUUAAAAGUUUGUGACCUCGAUGUUGGACUAGGAAAUUAUAGUUUAGAAGACUACUAUAAAGGCUCUGUUCGAGCUUAAACUCCUACGUGAUCUGA